rnacentral:rRNA from 1 species
GUCAAAUCAUCAUGCCCCUUAUGACCUGGGCUACACACGUGCUACAAUGGACGGUACAAACGGUUGCCAACCCGUGAGGGGGAGCCAAUCCGCCAAAGCCGGUCUCAGUUCGGAUUGCAGGCUGCAACCCGCCUGCAUGAAGUCGGAGUUGCUAGUAACCGCAGGUCAGCCAUACUGCGGUGAAUACGUUCCCGGGCCUU